rnacentral:rRNA from 1 species
CCUACGGGGUGCAGCAGUGGGGAAUAUUGGGCAAUGGAGGCAACUCUGACCCAGCCACGCCGCGUGAAUGAUGAAGGUCUUCGGAUUGUAAAGUUCUGUGAUGGGGGAUGAACACAAUGACGGUACCCCAAUAACAAGCCACGGCUAAAUACGUGCCAGCAGCCGCGGUAAUACGUAGGUGGCAUGCGUUAUCCGGAAUGACUGGGCGUAAGGGGUGCGUAGGUGGUGUAGUAAGUUGGCGGUGUAAUUCCGGGGCUAAACCUCGGCGCUACCGCCAAAAGUAUUAGACGAGAGUGCAGAAGGGGUAAGAGGAAUUCGUAGUGUAGCGGUGGAAUGCGUAGAUAUUAGGAGGAACAUCAGGGGCGAAGGCGACUUACUGGACUGUAACUGACACUGAGGCACGAAAGCGUGGGGAGCAAACAGGAUUAGAUACCCCAGUAGUC